rnacentral:rRNA from 1 species
CUACGGGUGGCUGCAGUGGGGAAUAUUGGACAAUGGACCAAGAGUCUGAUCCAGCAAUUCUGUGUGUUUGAUGAAGGCCUUCGGGUUGUAAAGAACUUUAAGUAGGGAAGAAGAAAGUGACGGUACCUACAGAAUAAGCGACGGCUAAAUACGUGCCAGCAGCCGCGGUAAUACGUAUGUCGCAGGCGUUAUCCGUAAUUAUUGGGCAUAAAGCGCGUCUAGGCGGUUUAUUAAGUCUGAUGUGAAAAUGCGGGGCUCAACUCCGUAUUGCGUUGGAAACUGGUAGACUAGAGUAUUGGAGAGGUAGGCGGAACUACAAGUGUAGAGGUGAAAUUCGUAGAUAUUUGUAGGAAUGCCAAUUGGGAAGCCAGCUUACUGGACAAAUACUGACGCUGAAGCGCGAAAGCUAGGGGAGCAAACAGGAUUAGAUACCCGAGUAGUC